rnacentral:rRNA from 1 species
UACGUAGGGUGCGAGCGUUAAUCGGAUUUACUGGGCGUAAAGCGUGCUCAGGCGGCCCGUUAAGACAGGUGUGAAAUCCCUGGGCUCAACCUAGGAAUUGCGCUUGUGACUGGCGGGCUCGAGUACGGUAGAGGGGGGUGGAAUUCCUGGUGUAGCAGUGAAAUGCGUAGAGAUCAGGAGGAACACCGAUGGCGAAGGCAGCCCCCUGGGCCUGUACUGACGCUCAUGCACGAAAGCGUGGGGAGCAAACAGG